rnacentral:rRNA from 1 species
GACGAACGCUGGCGGCGUGCUUAACACAUGCAAGUCGAACGGUGACCCAGGGCUUGCCCUGGUGAUCAGUGGCGAACGGGUGAGUAACACGUGGGCAACCUGCCCCUGACUUCGGGGUAACUCCUCGAAAGAGGAGCUAAUACCGGAUACGACCACUUCGGACAUCCGAUGGUGGUGGAAAGUUUUUCGGUCAGGGAUGGGCCCGCGGCCUAUCAGCUAGUUGGUGGGGUAAUGGCCUACCAAGGCGACGACGGGUAGCCGGCCUGAGAGGGCGACCGGCCACACUGGGACUGAGACACGGCCCAGACUCCUACGGGAGGCAGCAGUGGGGAAUAUUGCGCAAUGGGCGAAAGCCUGACGCAGCGACGCCGCGUGAGGGAUGAAGGCCUCGGUUGGUAAACCUCUUUCAGCAGGGACGAAGCGAAAGUGACGGUACCUGCAGAGAAGCACCGGCUAACUACGUGCCAGCAGCCGCGGUAAU